GGCUCGGUGGUGGAUUUUCCACGCCUGCAAGAUAUAUGGGAUCGUCCUUGAAUAUGCAGGAGCCGCCCGUUCGACUCGGGCCCGAGCCA